AAAAAUUGAAGGUUGAAAUUGAGUGCUAUAAGGUAAAAUUACUCAAAAGAAAGCAAAAAGAAGAUGAAAUGAAAAUUAUCGCAGACAGUUGAGCGGUCCAUUUUACUGCUGAGCGGUUGCGGCGCAAUAUGUCUCAACUUUUCUUGAAAGUUGAGUGGUGUUCCAAGUUUUUCACUUUAAAACCAUUCUUUGCAUUUCGCCUGAGCGGUCUCCCUAAGCCCUAGCACUCUCCUUUCACUUUCAAGAGCUUUUGAAAGAGAUUUCCUCACAUUCUCAUCACCCAC
rnacentral:lncRNA from 1 species